rnacentral:rRNA from 1 species
GACGCACUCUCAGAGUUUGAUCCUGGCUCAGGACGAACGCUGGCGGCAUGCCUAACACAUGCAAGUCGAACGGACGACCAUGACAGAAUCCUUCGGGAGGACGACAUGGAAGUUAGUGGCGGAUGGGUGAGUAACGCGUGGGAAAUCUACCUUUAAGUGGGGAAUAACUACGAGAAAUCGUAGCUAAUACCGCAUAAUAUUUCUAGAUCGCAUGAGAAGGAAAGGAAAGGCGGCCUUUGAGCUGUCGCUUAGAGAUGAUCCCGCGUCUGAUUAGCUAGUUGGUAAGGUAACGGCUUACCAAGGCAACGAUCAGUAGCCGGCCUGAGAGGGUGAACGGCCACAUUGGGACUGAGACACGGCCCAA